rnacentral:rRNA from 1 species
ACGAACGCUGGCGGCGUGCUUAACACAUGCCAGUCGAACGAUGAAGCGCCAGCUUGCUGGUGUGGAUUAGUGGCGAACGGGUGAGUAACACGUGAGUAACCUGCCCCCUACUCUGGGAUAAGCCUGGGAAACUGGGUCUAAUACUGGAUAUGACCAAUCACUGCAUGGUGUGUUGGUGGAAAGAUUUUUUGGUGGGGGAUGGACUCGCGGCCUAUCAGCUUGUUGGUGGGGUAAUGGCCUACCAAGGCGACGACGGGUAGCCGGCCUGAGAGGGCGACCGGCCACACUGGGACUGAGACACGGCCCAGACUCCUACGGGAGGCAGCAGUGGGGAAUAUUGCACAAUGGGCGAAAGCCUGAUGCAGCGACGCCGCGUGAGGGAUGACGGCCUUCGGGUUGUAAACCUCUUUCACCAGGGACGAAGCUAACGUGACGGUACCUGGAGAAGAAGCACCGGCUAACUACGUG